UACGUAGGGGGCUAGCGUUGUCCGGAUUUAUUGGGCGUAAAGAGCGUGUAGGCGGCCAGGUAGGUCUGCUGUGAAAACUCGAGGCUCAACCUCGAGACGUCGGCGGAAACCAUCUGGCUAGAGUCCGGAAGAGGAGAGUGGAAUUCCUGGUGUAGCGGUGAAAUGCGUAGAGAUCGGAAGGAACACCAGUUGCGAAGGCGGCUACCUGGCCUGGUACUGACACUGAGGCACGAAAGCGUGGGGAGCAAACAGG
rnacentral:rRNA from 1 species